AAAUUGAAUAAUUAGAUGUAAAUAUGUAUUUAUGAAGACUGAAUCCCCACAGGCUGAUCCCUUCUAUCUUGACGGAUGGAUUCUGCUGGCUCUACAUCUUCUCCAUCCAUUCUCACUUGAUUCUUGCCCAGUGUUUCAUGACAAAAACAUGGACCAACCCAGUACCUUCCUUGUUACAAGUACUCAGGAAAAGAAAUAAAUCCUUUAGAGCAGUGAGAUUCUUUCAUGCUAAAAGAUGCAGCAGUUUCAGCGCCAGGGUUUACAAUAUUUUUGCCAGUGCAACGUGUGCACAGUACUGUGAUGUUUUGUGCUAAUGCGUGAGUUAUUUUGCUAUGCCAUUAUAUAUCUAUUUGAAUUUUAUUUUUUCUUUAUUUCCC
rnacentral:lncRNA from 1 species